UAAUACGUAGGGGGCAAGCGUUGUCCGGAAUCAUUGGGCGUAAAGAGCGUGUAGGCGGCCUGAUAAGUCGGCUGUGAAAGUCAAGGGCUCAACCCUUGAAUGCCGGCCGAUACUGUCAGGCUAGAAUCCGGAAGAGGCGAGUGGAAUUCCUGGUGUAGCGGUGAAAUGCGCAGAUAUCAGGAGGAACACCUAUGGCGAAGGCAGCUCGCUGGGACGGUAUUGACGCUGAGACGCGAAAGCGUGGGGAGCGAACAGGAUUAGAUACCCUGGUAGUCCACGCCGUAAACGAUGGGCACUAGGUGUGGGAGGUGUCGACUCCUUCCGUGCCGAAGCUAACGCAUUAAGUGCCCCGCCUGGGGAGUACGGCCGCAAGGCUA
rnacentral:rRNA from 1 species